AUGAGGUUUGUAGCAGAAACGCUACGCCAUGGCCUGAAGCAGUGAUUGAGCAGCUGGUGGGAAGGCAGGGCCAACCCAGGGGAGCUCAGGUGCAUGCACUGUACCUGAAUGACCAGAAGGGGUGGAGCCGGGAUCCACCCCUUCCCAGACCUCACUUAAGGGUUGGCAGUAGAGGUGAUGGUAUUUUGCUGGAGAUUCCCGUAUACCUGUGGCCUUUGGGAGGCAUGUUCUAUUUUCUAAGCCACUGGGCACUCCUGUGUGACUGCAGGAAGACUGCAUUCAUCCACAGCAGGAAAACUCACACCAAGGUGGCAGGUUGUGCUCAUGAGAAGGAGAAGCAGCAGGAAUUUAUGAUAUCGAAGCUGGGAGGAGCAGUUCUUUUGGAGAAACACACACAAGCCAUUCUAGUUUAACCCAGCCCUUCCCGGUUCCAGUGCUAAGUGACCUUCAGCUUCAUCUUUGCUGCACCUCCAGUGGUAAUAAGCAUGUCAAAGAAAAAAUGAAGAUAAUUCCACUUUCCCCAGGAACUUAGUCUGCCCAUUAAUUGAGUUGCAUUUCUUUAAGCUCAUGGUUUACUUCUGGGAAAGAAAUCUCUAAUUCAGCAUAGCAGUUGCCCUGUUCAGCUUGGAAGUCAGUGGUUCAUGAAGACCGUGCCUGUCUAGCCAGUCGGGUUUUGGGAUUCUCAUGCUGGGACACAUGUCGGACUCUGCAGAUGGCAUAGAGCUAAUGUAUGCUGCAGAUUCACACCCGGUAGCAAUUGCUUCUGAAACCACUGCCUCUUAGCUCCCUAUACCACAAAUAAAAUUACUUAUUCUGCACAAGCAAAAAACUUUCUGCUUGGUUUCUUGUUGGAAACAGAAAUCUUCCCUUUAUCUAGCAAAGAAAAGGCGCACCUUUGUGUUCAUUCCAUGUGUGUGAAGAGCCUUCUCAAGUGUAUAUAAUUCACCCAGCAUCUCUUCAGGCAUCAGUCUCUCAUCCUACUGAGAAAGGAAUGUUACAAAGCCAUCUGUAAGAGGAGCAGAAUUACAUGAACCCGAAUAAACGACUGCCUUAACUACUCCAAAACCCACAAUCAGGGUACCUGAUAAUCAUUCAGAAAAGAAGCAGACUUGUGAUCCCAGCUUUUUUAACUGACACCAUCUGCCUCUUAGUCUCUUUCUCCUGCUGACACCAACAGGUUUUCACCUUCUGGUUCACGAACACCUUGCCAGAAUAAUUUCCAUCCCUGGCUGGAACCAGGCUGCCUUUUUCCUCACUCUGUCGUGCCUCAGGCAGAGCUUUCCCUGGAGCAGUGCUGGAAGACAGGAGGUCCUCCUCUGUCCUGGAGUGGCUGUGAACAUCUCUGGCACUGCUGUGUCAUGCACCUUUGUUUCUGGAGAGCAGAGUGGAAGGGUGGGUGAAGCAGGAAUGUGGAUCUGCCCACUGCUCAUAAGUACCUACCUGCAGACUUAGCACCAGCGAGGCACCUCCCCUCACACAGGGGAGCAGUGGGAAACCUGGCUCUUAAUAAAAGAAGGCUUUCAAAAGGCUGGCAGAGUGAACAAUGUCAGGCUUGAAACUUAAACGUUGCACUGGUUAUUUGGUGUUCCUACGGUGAAAGACCACAUUCCACAUACAAGAUGUAAAAGAUUAUUUUUCUUCAAAUUUGGGCACAUCUGUGGCCAUCAUAUUUCACUGAUAAGAGCCAGGCAAAAGGAAAACAGAUUGUCUCACACAGUGCUGUCUCGGUGUACCUUCUCCUUCUAUGUACCAGUUAUCUGAACCUGUCCUCUGUUGUCUCAUGAGCUGUUGAUGAUUACAUCUAAUACAUUAUCUUUUAAACCCAGCAUGAAGCUAAUUACUGCCACCUAUAUCUCCAGGCACCUUGACUGCAGCUCUGAUUAUUCUUAGCUUUAUAUCAAGAAACCCCACUGACCCCUUACUGUAUGAAUUCCUCAUUUAUAGAUUUUUCUGUGCUGUGCAUGUAUUUCAGGCACAUCUUUACAGAAGGAAAUGCAGUCAAGGCCAGUUGUUUGCUGUAAGCAGAAACCUCCAUUUCUUGCUUUCCCUAAAUGCUUUCUAAUAAAAUUUGUGUUGGAACAUUGUUCUAAGAGCAUCCCUAUAAGGAAUAAUUCCAGUGACCUCAGCAAAUUACCUGUGAAUGAAUCUCACAUCAGCAAGGAAAGGGCAUUUUCUGCCUCUUUUUGGAGGUUUAGUUUUGCUGCCAGGGAGAAGGCUUUGACCUUCCCCUUUUGGGUACCAUACUUAUUAUUUGUUCAGCAUUCCUUCACAAAACUUCAGAAGUGCAAAAUAUGCCUUUCUUCACAUAGUGAUGACAAGCUGUCAGUAAUGAAGGGCACGUUGUUCUGCCCUACAGUCCCAUGGAGGACAGUGCACCCACACCAUGGCAGUUUAGGGAUUAGGGGAACACCGGAGUUCUUUGCUUGAAUUUAUAAAGUUUGGCAGGGACAGUUCUCCAGGACUUCCUUGAAAGAGUGAAAAAAUAAAAUACUCUUUAAACCAGAAACCCUCUCUUUGUCCUUGUUUCUCUAAUUAGACUAGGGGCAGUCCUUAAUACCAUGAGCCUCAGGUGAAGACAAGCAAAAUGCAAGUUUGUGUGAACUGAGACCAAAUGUAAUAGAAGAUGUUUUGACUGGAUUGGCUUACAAUGUAUCAGUAAGGAUGAUAUUUUCACGUUUGUGGGGUCUGGUGUACUUCACCCUACACCAUUUAAGAUCCUGUCUAAUUGUAUUUGUAUUAACCACUAUUUUUUAAGGUCUGGUGAAAAACAGGAGAGGUAUGAGAAGGUGGAUGAAAGCUGCCAGCGACCUCCACUGAUGUCGGCUGUGGACAAAUGACACCCAGACAGGCACAUACCUACCCAGCCCUUGGGAAGCGUCCAUCUAGAGGAACUCUGCACUGCCACCCCUCUGCACAUCACAUGUCCCCAGGUUCCCCCUCCCACCUGGUGAGGGCUCAGAACCAGAGGAUGAGCACCACCCUUCUAUGCACCUUUCUACACGAUACGAACAUGAGUAGGUUUGGCCCAUCUGAAACUGCUUUUUGUCUUUUUUUUUCAAAUGUUCUGUUUUGGAGAUAGUGAUUUCCAGCUGCUUUGGAACAGUUGCCAAUCCCACAGGAGGGAAGGUAACAAGUGGCGGGAAAGACAGAGCCACCUCACUUCAUAUGCUUCCACCAUUCCCCAGUGUGGCUCAAUUCCAGAGGACCCUGGGAAGCCAUAGUAUCACCCUGACAAUAGCUGAUAUGACUCUUAAACUGUAGGAUGCUGUUUUUAUUCCUUUUGACAAAAUAUUUUGUAUUCUCAUCCUCCUGAGUCUCAGCACAGGAAAGCUGGCAUGGAGUUGUGAAGGAUUGUCAGGAACAGAUUUGUUUCUUACUCUGCAGAGAAGACUCAAGCCACCUAGCCAAAAUGCAUUUUACACCACAAUGCAAAAGAACAUCAGUGCAAAAUUCAUCAAAGCAUGUUUAAAUCUGUCUUUGUUUUUCAUCUCCACUAUUUCCUAGGAACAAAACCAUGGUUUUAAUGCCUUGGGUGGAGAUGGUUAUGAGGUGCAUAAACCCCAGAGAUGUUCUGGAAACAAAUUUUCCUUCCUGAAGUGCAGGGGGCAAGAACCUUCUAAAGUAAAUGGCCAGGCCACAAGUUAAAUUCGCUGAUCUACUAUAGGUCAAAGAGAAACUAACUGGUGACAAUGUGCAGGAUGUAUCAUCAUUACCAUCAUUCAUGUUAAUUGUUCUAGUACCUUAAGACCAACUGCAGAUGGAUUGUUGUACAAGAGUAGCUGACAGUUUCUGACCCAUGGAAGUUACCGUUCAGUAACCAGGAAGUUGAGAAAAGCAACUAGAACAUGCAAGCAGAAACACUCAUGCAUCAUAUUGAUCUCAGAGAAUUUAAUUUUAUUUCUGUCUCUCUGUGUGUAAGUUAAAUAAGACAAAUGGAAAAAAUGAAUGCAGGAUAGAUAAGAAAGGGUAGAUGAGACAAGAGGGACAAAAUACACAUUUUUAAAACCUGAAUUUCUCUUUGACCUAGAAACUCUACAUUUUUGUCAAGUCUAGAAUGCAACUCACAUGUUUGCACACACAUUCUGCAGCCACAGUCCCAUCCACCUAGGGAGCUGUGGAAUUUGUUUCAUGAGACAUGCAGGUUGUCUGUCAGCCAUGGAGGUUUAGAAGUUGUUCUGCCUCUUUGUGUCUUUCAUCCAGCCACAGGAAUACAGCUCCUAGUUUGAUCUUUGUUACUGGCAAGCAUCCAUCCGUCAGUCCCAUCUGUUACGCUGAGCCUGUGUGUGACACAUGCAGCAGAUUGAGUCCCGAGGGCAGACUGAUGAGGGGCUGGUGCACACUUGCAUUUCUUACCAGUGACUGAAAUGUAUAUGCCAGCAUUUUCUGCAGAUGGAAAAUAGGGAAGUACUCAAAUGUCAGGGAGAGGUUUGGUGUCAGUACUUCUAAAAGUCAAUAACUCACAGACAAGAUGGCAGCCCCAUUUAGAGAUUUUAAUAUUUCCACUCCUAGAGCUGCCUCCAAAACAGGUCUUUGGCCAUCAUGCCCUGGAGCUGCUAGGAUAUUUCCAAAUUCUCUUCUACGACGUCCAGGGAUGUUCAGUGAGUUUCUUCCCUUCUACUUUCUGGGUGCAGAGGAUAUGAUGGCAAACCACAGAGGCAUUCAGAAGCUUUGGGUUUUAUUGCAUUUCUGCUUCCCUCUAUUUGAACAAUUCAGUCUCUAAAUAUCCUUCCUUCCACAUCAACUAUCAGUAUCAUCUACAAAGCAGGUUUUUUUUUUUGUACAGAAGAUUUAUUUCUGAACCUUGAAUUGAACAUAGUUCCUGGUCCUCCCAUGCUAGUACUGCAUAAGUAACUGUGUACUGAACUGCUGCAAAUGAACUGAAGGAGUCACCCCAGGAGGUCAAAGGGCUGCUACUGAGACAUAAGAAAUGUGACAUCCAAGUGCUGCAGUUGUAUAAAAGCAGUAAUAGUGCGGCUGAAAACACAACUGAUAAUAAACCAAACAAGCAGAAAACUCACGCCUGUCAUCUGUUGAGGUCUGCACAAAAUACACCAAGUAUUGUGUGGAGGAAAUUGUGUGUACAAGUGGGCCAAUAUCCAAAUACAGUAUCAAAUGGUAUCACUCUAACUGAACAAAGGUAUGACUAGUGAUCAGAACAUCUAUGUGUGCUAAAUGUAUUGAUAUUUAGCCAAUAAAACAAUGUAAAAUGUGUGUAUGAGAACCAAAGAGAACACAAGAUGCAACGCAGAAAAAAUUAAGUAUAUACAUUAAGGAAAGCCUCAGGUUGAGCGCAGGCUACUGGAAAAUCAGACCCUACCCGGUGCUUUCAGGUCACCAACACAACACAAAGUAUGUGUGUAGCUUCUUCCCCCAGUAAGAAAAUCUGCCUGAUGAACCUGGUGUGCAGCUAACUGUGCAGUUUAUGCAGGCCUAGUUGAAACUGGGGAUAUCAUCUGCAACAGCAAAUGGGGACAAGAAAGGAUGAGCCCCAGCAUAGCGCUGUGUGAGGGUCCCCCUGCACUGCUCCCAUGUCCCUGACUCUCACGCUAUGGAAAAAGCUGCCCACAGCCCAAAGGCUGUCAGAACCACCAGCCAAAACCUUUGUAGAAACCCCAGCUUUUAUCUCCAUUCUUGUAACAAUGAGCAUAAACGAUUCCACAGAUCCAUCUGCUGCCUUCCCUGUCCUGACAAGUGGACUCUGAAGUUCUUUUAUUAAGCCAGCUGCAAAUCAAUUUCCUCACUGGAUCAGCACAGCACUGAAGCAAACAUAUAUGCAGUUUCUCGUAGGGCUGAGCUAAAUUAAACCCUAAUACCUUAUGGCAGUUUUUUCUUCCAAUGUUCAGUGUAAUGUAGUUUCAUUUAAAGGACUAGGCUACCUCAAAAAUAAUAGCCUAGUUAAAGUAAUGCAUAAAACUGCAUGGGGAAAAAACAAACAAACAAAAAACCCACAGAUUUUCUAGCUCUGAACAGCUAUUACCCUCUGUGACAAGACUAGGAAGGCAAUAUCCCUGAUUUCCACAUAGAAAUUCAUACAGGUCAUUGUAUUAAUCUUUUUUUUUUUUUUUUUUUUUCCAGGUCUUAGCUCUUUGAACACCUUUUCACUUGUCACACAGGGAAACAUAU
ensembl:lncRNA